AGAGUUUGAUCAUGGCUCAGAUUGAACGCUGGCGGCAUGCCUUACACAUGCAAGUCGAACGCGAAAGGGGGCAACCCCGAGUAGAGUGGCGAACGGGUGAGCAAUACAUCGGAACACGUCCUGUAGCGGGGGACAACCCCGAGAAAUCGGGGCUAAUACCGCAUACGAUCUACGGAUGAAAGUGGGGGACCGCAAGGCCCCACACUAUAGGAGUGGCCGAUGCCGGAUUAGCUAGUUGGUGGGGUAACGGCCUACCAAGGCGACGAUCCGUAGCUGGUUUGAGAGAACGACCAGCCACACUGGGACUGAGACACGGCCCAGACUCCUACGGGAGGCAGCAGUGGGGAAUUUUGGACAAUGGGCGAAAGCCUGAUCCAGCCAUGCCGCGUGAGUGAAGAAGGCCUUCGGGUUGUAAGGCUCUUUCGGCGGGGACGAAAUGGCGCGGGGUAACAUCCCGCGUCGAUGACGGUACCCGAAGAAGAAGGACCGGCUAACUACGUGCCAGCAGCCGCGGUAAUACGUAGGGUCCAAGCGUUAAUCGGAAUUACUGGGCGUAAAGCGUGCGUAGGCGGUUUCGCAAGUCCUAUGUGAAAUCCCCGGGCUUAACCUGGGAACUGCGUUGGAAACUACGAAGCUAGAGUGCGGCAGAGGGGGGUGGAAUUCCAGGUGUAGCAGUGAAAUGCGUAGAGAUCUGGAGGAACACCGAUGGCGAAGGCAGCCCCCUGGGCUAGCACUGACGCUCAUACACGAAAGCGUGGGGAGCAAACAGGAUUAGAUACCCUAGUAGUCC
rnacentral:rRNA from 1 species